AUUGAACGCUGGCGGCAGGCUUAACACAUGCAAGUCGAGCGGGGUGAUGGUGCUUGCACUAUCGCUUAGCGGCGGACGGGUGAGUAAUGCUUAGGAAUCUGCCUAUUAGUGGGGGACAACAUCUCGAAAGGGAUGCUAAUACCGCAUACGUCCUACGGGGGAAAGCAGGGGAUCACUUGUGACCUUGCGCUAAUAGAUGAGCCUAAGGCGGAUUAGCUAGUUGGUGGGGUAAAGGCCUACCAAGGCGACGAUCUGUAGCGGGUCUGAGAGGAUGAUCCGCCACACUGGGACUGAGACACGGCCCAGACUCCUACGGGAGGCAGCAGUGGGGAAUAUUGGACAAUGGGGGGAACCCUGAUCCAGCCAUGCCGCGUGUGUGAAGAAGGCCUUAUGGUUGUAAAGCACUUUAAGCGAGGAGGAGGCUCUUUUGGUUAAUACCCAGAAUGAGUGGACGUUACUCGCAGAAUAAGCACCGGCUAACUCUGCGCCAGCCGCCGCAGUAA
rnacentral:rRNA from 1 species